UUGCAAAGCAUGCUGCGUUUCCUGCGGGGCGC
rnacentral:misc_RNA from 1 species